GUGACUGAAGUGUACCCGGUAGGCACGCCUGCCUGUGAAGCAGGAAGAAGGAGUUCGAAUCUCCUCAGUCACC
rnacentral:tRNA from 1 species